rnacentral:lncRNA from 1 species
AUAAGCAGGAGUAACAGGUAACCUGAAGUGUCACCUCCAAGAACGGGACCCAGCCCCACAAUGAGGAAGCAAUUUAACUCUGCCUUAGCCUUGAAAAUGUGACAAAACUGAGUUGGACAGCAGUCUUGAGACACAUGGGACAAAAGGCGAGAUUCGUUCUGUCCGGGGAAAAACAAGAUUUUCAGGACAAAUGAGAGAGUGACAGAUUCAUAAAGAGAGUGACAAAUUCAUCGAUGAAGACUGCGGAGAGGAGAGGUGAGGAAGCCACAGGCAGUCAGCAGAAAGCAGUGAGCUGCUCCCUCCACAGGCCCGGCAGCGGCAGCCCCGCGAUCUCCAGGGUGGACGUCGGUACUUCAUGGCAACCUGCACUGCCAGGUGCUCCUGCCCAA